GUCGUAAUUUCGACAUAACAUGUCGUUAUUACGACAUCGCUAUGUCGUAAUUUCGACAUAACAUGUCGUUAUAACGACAUCGCUAUGUCGUUAUUUCGACAUAACAUGUCGUUAUAACGACAUCACUAUGUCGUUUUAACGACAUAGCUAUGUCGUAAUAACGACAUCACUAUAUAUAUUAAAGAAUAUGUAUUAUCAUUGCCAAGAGACUAAAUGACACAGAAAUUA
rnacentral:lncRNA from 1 species